rnacentral:rRNA from 1 species
GAUGAACGCUGGCGGCAGGCCUAACACAUGCAAGUCGAGCGGCAGCGGGUCCUUCGGGAUGCCGGCGAGCGGCGGACGGGUGAGGAAUGCGUCGGAAUCUGCCUUUUUGUGGGGGAUAACGUAGGGAAACUUACGCUAAUACCGCAUACGACCUACGGGUGAAAGUGGGGGACCGCAAGGCCUCACGCAGAAAGAUGAGCCGACGCCGGAUUAGCUAGUUGGCGGGGUAAAGGCCCACCAAGGCGACGAUCCGUAGCUGGUCUGAGAGGAUGAUCAGCCACACUGGAACUGAGACACGGUCCAGACUCCUACGGGAGGCAGCAGUGGGGAAUAUUGGACAAUGGGCGCAAGCCUGAUCCAGCCAUGCCGCGUGCGUGAAGAAGGCCUUCGGGUUGUAAAGCACUUUUGUCCGGAAAGAAAUCCAAUCGAUUAAUACUCGGUUGGGAUGACGGUACCGGAAGAAUAAGCACCGGCUAACUUCGUGCCAGCAGCCGCGGUAACAC